UUCAAGGGCAACUAUAAGUUUCGGUAUCCAAACUUCAUCAUUCAUUUUAUUUAAUUUUUUUAUAAUUGAUAUAUUUAUUGUUAUUAGAUAAUAAAAUAUAAAUAUUACUUUAUAUGUGAUUAUACGUGACUUAUGUUUUUUAUUUCUUUAAAUUUUUUAAAUAAGACGGAUGAUUAAUGUUGAACACAGACAUUCAUGGGUGCGCUAAAA
rfam:Oryza punctata chromosome 4, whole genome shotgun sequence.